AGUUGGAUGAUUAAUGAGAUAAUGAAUGUGAAGAGAACUCCCUGGAGGAAAGACAUUUUAUAAACAUUAAGUGAAGACUGACUCACUCACCCAACAGCUCAGAGUGUCAUAAUCAUAAGAAAAGAUGAGACAGAUCAACAUUGAAGAAUAUUCUACAAAAUAACCGACCAGUACUCUGUCUAGAAUAUGAGAGACAAGGAAAGAAUGAAGACCACCAUGGAUUAUGUGAAGAACAAGGAGGCAGUGUGGGAUGCCUGAUUAGAUCCUGGAGCAGAAAAAGGAUGUAGGAGGAAAACUGAUGAUGGAAUAAGCUCCAGUUUUCCAGAUGGUGGCAUAUAUAUAGCACAAUAAUACAGGAAAAUAACUGCCCUACCCUACUGCACAGGGCUCCUCUGAAGAUCAAAGGAGCUAAUGCAUGUGAAGUGCUUUGGGAACUGGGGCCAGCUUUUCAAAUUGAGGACACGGCAGGAAAGCAUCUAUCUAUUAGCCAGGAAGAGGCCCUUACCAGACACCGGAUGUGCCAGCACCUGCCUCUUGGACUUCCCAGUCUCCAGACAUGAAAAAUAUCAAAGGGGGUAGAUACCAACGGACUAUAGGACUUUUAUGGCCACUUGUCUGGAAAAGCCAAUUGCCCUGCCCUUGGGAACACUGGGCCUGUGGAAACUUACAACCAAGGUGGAAAGGCUGAUUUCCUGUUCAGCCCAUCCUGCCAAGAGAAGGGGAGAGCUUCCAGUUCCAGCUGGCGUAUUG